rnacentral:tRNA from 1 species
GCAGUGGUGAUUCAGUGGUAGAAUUCUUGCCCUCCGUGUAGGAGACGUGGGUUCGAUUCUCAGCCAGAGCU